rnacentral:ncRNA from 2 species
CGCAUGCGCUGGGGGUGCCGCGCCGGGGAUUCUUCUCCGGGGCAGCUGAGACCAAACCCUUCGAACCUGACCGGGGUAAUUCCCGCGCAGGGAAGCAACGAUGACCACGA